UCCGGUUUGUCACCGGCAGUCUCGCAUGAGUCCCCAACUUAAUGCUGGCAACAUACGACGGGGGUUGCGCUCGUUGCGGGACUUAACCCAACAUCUCACGACACGAGCUGACGACAGCCAUGCAGCACCUGUUACCGGUCCAGCCGAACUGAAGGGAUCCAUCUCUGGUUCCCGCGACCGGGAUGUCAAGGGCUGGUAAGGUUCUGCGCGUUGCUUCGAAUUGAACCACAUGCUCCACCGCUUGUGCGGGCCCCCGUCAAUUCCUUUGAGUUUCAGCCUUGCGGCCGUACUCCCCAGGCGGGGCACUUAAUGCGUUAGCGCCGGCACUCAGGGGGUCGCUCCCCCAAGCACCUAGUGCCCAUCGUUUACGGCGUGGACUCC
rnacentral:misc_RNA from 1 species